rnacentral:lncRNA from 1 species
CCACCUGGCUGUAAAGUUUUAUGUAGUCAAACUGUUUCACAGUGAGAACAAUCAUAGUGUGAUCUUAAAUGGGGCAAGAGAGAUAAGUCUAAUUGCUCAUUUGAGCAGACUCUUAUAGAUUUCUUGAAGAAGAAGAAAUAAAACCUGCAGGUAUGGCAGAGAGAACAAAGCGUAGGAAAAAAAAUAUCAUUUGUUGCAAUAUUUAUUUUGCCAUCCAGCAUAUAAAUACUACAUGAGUUAGGGAGAGCACUACACUUCUCUUAGCCAUGGGAUCUAGCAAGCAGUGCUGUCUGUUGGUUUUGGGGUUUUGCAGUUCCCAGAGCUGUUACAUCAUUUAAUACCAUGUUGUUAGUUGUCACACCUGGUUACCGUGGUUUACAUCAGCUACGUCGUGUGAUGUCUCAUGGAAAUUGGCAGCAGCUGGGGAAAUGUUAAAUAAGUGCAGGCAAACCCUGCACUGGCCAUUUUUUUCAGUCUCUGGGGCUGGAGGUUCCCGAGCAGGGGAGUCUCUGGGGGCUCGCCUGGGGCAGGCACUGCCAGCAUGGGCUGGGCUCUUCCCGUGGUGGCUGGGGACCGGUGCAUGGUGCCUGGUGGCCAGCAGUGUCCAGACCUCGGGCCCGGGGUAGGAAGAGUCCUGCUGUACUGCCAGCAUCAGCAGGAAGCGAGCUGGUACAAAGCAUAGCAGAAAGCUUUGAGAAAACUGCUAAAAUUCUGAAACGCACGUGGUGUGGUUCGUGGAAGGCAGGUUUUCUAUAGGUUUGUUCCUGUACCGCAGCAGUCUGGUUCGGGCAAUGUGUUUCCCCCCGUGGUGCAGUGGCUGCAGAACCGCGCUGACAUCUCCGUCCUGCUCUCCAUGUCCUCGCGCAGCUCAACAGCUCGUGCUCUCGCCCUCGCUGCAAAAGACUGCUUCGUCUUUUGUCUCCUCCCGAGGAGCAGGCACCGUGUCCAGCUGGCCAGUCCUCUGGAGCAGAGGUGCCCUCCUUACCACGGCAUACAACAGACGUGUCAGAAAGCCACAGCACUGCAUCUGCAGCUCUAAAACGUAUUACAGGGGCAAGGAUGGAGUGGCAGUGCUGUUUCCUGUGCUGUACCUGCCACAGCCUGGUACGUCUGUGCUGUUACUCGGUAUGCCAGCACCGUCCCUGGGCACGCCUGGUCCUGCAGUCAGGGUUUUGUCACCACAUUGCCUGCCCCUGAACAAGGGCCAAAGGUGUUUCAAAUUCUUUGGUUUCCGGCCUCACAGCACUGUUGACGUUUUGACCACCUUAGCUGUUGACACUGUAACUGGGACGAUGGCCUCACCCAGCUACCCUGUGACUUCCCCUGCUUUGCUAUUUCACGUGGUUAUGGUACAGUGGCACGUUCCUUCCCCCUGUAAACACUGCACGUGA